rnacentral:rRNA from 1 species
AUUGGACGCUGGCGGCAGGCCUAACGCAUGCAAGUCGAACGGUAACAGGAAGAAGCUUGCUUCUUUGCUGACGAGUGGCGGACGGGUGAGUAAUGUCUGGGAAACUGCCUGAUGGAGGGGGAUAACUACUGGAAACGGUAGCUAAUACCGCAUAACGUCGCAAGACCAAAGAGGGGGACCUUCGGGCCUCUUGCCAUCGGAUGUGCCCAGAUGGGAUUAGCUAGUAGGUGGGGUAACGGCUCACCUAGGCGACGAUCCCUAGCUGGUCUGAGAGGAUGACCAGCCACACUGGAACUGAGACACGGUCCAGACUCCUACGGGAGGCAGCAGUGGGGAAUAUUGCACAAUGGGCGCAAGCCUGAUGCAGCCAUGCCGCGUGUAUGAAGAAGGCCUUCGGGUUGUAAAGUACUUUCAGCGGGGAGGAAGGGAGUAAAGUUAAUACCUUUGCUCAUUGACGUUACCCGCAGAAGAAGCACCGGCUAACUCCGUG